UGGGGAAUAUUGCACAAUGGGCGCAAGCCUGAUGCAGCCAUGCCGCGUGUAUGAAGAAGGCCUUCGGGUUGUAAAGUACUUUCAGCGGGGAGGAAGGUGUUGAGGUUAAUAACCUCAGCAAUUGACGUUACCCGCAGAAGAAGCACCGGCUAACUCCGUGCCAGAAGCCGCGGUAAUAAGGAGGGUGCAAGCGUUAAUCGGAAUUACUGGGCGUAAAGCGCACGCAGGCGGUCUGUCAAGUCGGAUGUGAAAUCCCCGGGCUCAACCUGGGAACUGCAUUCGAAACUGGCAGGCUAGAGUCUUGUAGAGGGGGGUAGAAUUCCAGGUGUAGCGGUGAAAUGCGUAGAGAUCUGGAGGAAUACCGGUGGCGAAGGCGGCCCCCUGGACAAAGACUGACGCUCAGGUGCGAAAGCGUGGGGAGCAAACA
rnacentral:rRNA from 1 species